UCGGCAUUAGCUCAGUGGCAGAGCUCCAGCUUCAUAUGGGGGGAAGGCCUGGGUUCUAUUCCCGGAUGCUUAC
rnacentral:tRNA from 1 species